UACAGAGGUCUCAAGCGUUGUUCGGAUUCAUUGGGCGUAAAGGGUGCGUAGGCGGCUUGUCGCGUCGGCUGUGAAAAACCCGCGGCUCAACUGUGGGCGGGCAGCUGAUACGGGCAGGCUGGAGUUCGGUAGGGGAGACUGGAAUUCCUGGUGUAGCGGUGAAAUGCGCAGAUAUCGGGAGGAACACCAGUAGCGAAGGCGGCUCGCUGGGCCAUUCCUGACGCUGAGACGCGAAAGCUAGGGGAGCGAACAGG
rnacentral:rRNA from 1 species